rnacentral:rRNA from 1 species
UACGUAGGGUGCAAGCGUUAAUCGGAAUUACUGGGCGUAAAGCGUGCGCAGGCGGUUUUGUAAGUCUGACGUGAAAUCCCCGGGCUCAACCUGGGAAUUGCGUUGGAGACUGCAAGGCUGGAGUCUGGCAGAGGGGGGUAGAAUUCCCGGUGUAGCGGUGAAAUGCGUAGAGAUCGGGAGGAACAUCAGUGGCGAAGGCGGCCAUCUGGGACAACACUGACGCUGAGGCACGAAAGCGUGGGGAGCAAACAGG